rnacentral:tRNA from 1 species
GCGGGGUGGAGCAGCUCGGUAGCUCGCUGGGCUCAUAACCCAGAGGUCCAUGGUUCAAAUCCAUGCCCCGCUACCA